rnacentral:lncRNA from 1 species
GCAUUUGAACUGCAACUCCAAAGUUUAUGCUUGAAUAGAUAGCUAUGAAAAAGAGUUCUGAUGAUUUGUUUUUGAUUUGGUUUAGGAAAUUAUAAUCCUAUCCAAUCUUUGAAGGUGCUUUUGAUUUUCUUUCAAUCUUCAGUUCACAAACUAAAAUUUUAUCUCAUUUGUCAUCCUGUUGCUUUCUUUUUCUGGCCUCUUAUAAUCAAUCUCAGAAUCUCCCAACCC